GACGAACGCUGGCGGCGUGCCUAAUACAUGCAAGUUGAGCGAUGAAGAUUGGUGCUUGCGCCACUUUGAAGAGCAGCGAACGGGUGAGUAACGCGUGGGGAAUCUGCCUUUGAGCGGGGGACAACAUUUGGAAACGAAUGCUAAUACCGCAUAACAACUUUAAACAUAAGUUUUAAGUUUGAAAUCUGCAAUUGCAUCACUCAAAGAUGAUCCCGCGUUGUAUUAGCUAGUUGGUGAGGUAAAGGCUCACCAAGGCGAUGAUACAUAGCCGAACUGAGAGGGUGAUAGGCCACAUUGGGACGGAGACACGGCCCAAACGCCUGCGGGAGGCAGCAGUAGGGAAUCUUCGGCAAUGGACGAAAGUCUGACCGAGCAACGCCGCGUGAGUGAAGAAGGUUUUCGGAUCGUAAAACUCGGUUGGUAGAGAAGAACGUUGGUGAGAGUGGAAAGCUCAUCAAGUGACGGUAACUACCCAGAAAGGGACGGCUAACUACGUG
rnacentral:rRNA from 1 species